rnacentral:rRNA from 1 species
GAUCAUGGCUCAGAUUGAACGCUGGCGGCAGGCCUAACACAUGCAAGUCGAACGGUAACAGGAAACAGCUUGCUGUUUCGCUGACGAGUGGCGGACGGGUGAGUAAUGUCUGGGAAACUGCCUGAUGGAGGGGGGAUAACUACUGGAAACGGUAGCUAAUACCGCAUAAUGUCGCAAGACCAAAGAGGGGGACCUUCGGGCCGUCUUGCCACUCGGAUGUGCCCAGACUGGGAGUUAAGUCGUAG